UACCAAGGCGGCGACGGGUAUCCGGCCUGAGAGGGUGUACGGACACAUUGGGACUGAGAUACGGCCCAGACUCCUACGGGAGGCAGCAGUGGGGAAUAUUGCACAAUGGGCGCAAGCCUGAUGCAGCGACGCCGCGUGGGGGAUGAAGGCCUUCGGGUUGUAAACUCCUUUCGCUAUCGACGAAGCCUNNUGGGG
rnacentral:rRNA from 1 species